UACGUAGGUGGCAAGCGUUGUCCGGAUUUAUUGGGUUUAAAGGGUGCGUAGGCGGUCUAAUAAGUCAGUGCUGAAAUAUCCCGGCUUAACCGGGAGGGUGGCAUUGAUACUGUUGGACUUGAGUAGAGUUGAGGUUGGCGGAAUUGACGGUGUAGCGGUGAAAUGCUUAGAUAUCGUCAGGAACACCGAUAGUGAAGACAGCUAACUAAGCUCAAACUGACGCUGAGGCACGAAAGCGUGGGGAGCAAACAGG
rnacentral:rRNA from 1 species